AGCGUGAAACUCACCCUAAGAUGAGAUAUCCCACCGCAAGGGUAAGACCCCAUGUAGACUACAUGGUUGAUAGGUCGGAGGUGUAAGCGUGGUAACACGUUGAGCUGACCGAUACUAAUAGGUCGAGGGCUUGACCAAA
rnacentral:rRNA from 1 species